UGGGGAAUAUUGCACAAUGGGCGCAAGCCUGAUGCAGCCAUGCCGCGUGUGUGAAGAAGGCCUUCGGGUUGUAAAGCACUUUCAGCGGGGAGGAAGGCGAUAAGGUUAAUAACCUUGUCGAUUGACGUUACCCGCAGAAGAAGCACCGGCUAACUCCGUGCCAGCAGCCGCGGUAAUACGGAGGGUGCAAGCGUUAAUCGGAAUUACUGGGCGUAAAGCGCACGCAGGCGGUCUGUCAAGUCGGAUGUGAAAUCCCCGGGCUUAACCUGGGAACUGCAUUCGAAACUGGCAGGCUAGAGUCUUGUAGAGGGGGGUAGAAUUCCAGGUGUAGCGGUGAAAUGCGGAGAGAUCUGGAGGAAUACCGGUGGCGAAGGCGGCCCCCUGGACAAAGACUGACGCUCAGGUGCGAAAGCGUGGGGAGCAAACAGG
rnacentral:rRNA from 1 species